rnacentral:lncRNA from 1 species
UAGAGAUGGAGCUAUAUGUUGUCACAUUGGAACUUGGUAGGCUAUUUGGUUCUAAAUUUCUAGGCCGCUAGACCUCGAUCUGACAAGCUGUUAGGACUAGAGAUCUACCUGCUAACUUGUGCACCAAGAUUUUUAGUCAUGAGUGUCAGUUACAAAUCAGGCCCACAUUUAAUUAGGAGAUUCUAAGGAUCUCUCACAUGAUUGAAUAGUCCAAUAUC